GAUCUAUUUCGUUAUGGAAUACGUGAAAGGAGGCGAAUUAUUCAACCAGAUCUCCAGUAAAAGCCGAUUCACUGAGGAUCUCAGCCGGAAAUGCUUUCAGCAAUUGAUUUCCGCGGUUAAUUACUGUCAUUCACGUGGAAUUUACCAUCGCGAUUUGAAACCUGAGAAUGUUCUAAUUGACGAAAAUGGAGAUCUGAAAGUUUCCGAUUUCGGGCUUAGUGCUACAACGGAUCAAAUUCAAUCAUUCGACGGGCUUCUACAUACGGUUUGCGGAUCUCCGGCGUAUGUAGCACCGGAGGUUUUGACGAUUAAAGGAUACGACGGAGCUAAAACAGAUAUCUGGUCAUGUGGAAUUAUGCUAUUCGUGAUGAUCGCCGGUUACUUCCCGUUCUACGAUCAGAAUCUGAUGUUAAUGUACAAAAAAAUCUACAAAGGCGAAUUCCGGUGCCCGAAAUGGAUCUCUCCGGACGGUAAGCGGAUUCUAUCUCGUCUUCUGGAUGUAAAUCCGGCGACCAGAAUUACGAUCGAAGAAAUCAUCAGAGAUCCAUGGUUCAGAAAGGGAUUGAAAUUUAUCAAAUUCUCAGAAGAGGAAGAAAAUAGUAAGAUAAAUUCGUUAACAAAUUCUCUGAAUGCGUUUGAUAUAAUUUCGUUCUCCCAGGGAUUAGACAUUUCUGGAUUGUUCAAAUCGAACAAUCCGGUGGAUGAUUUGGAGAGGAUAGUGGUGGAAGAGUCGCCGGAGAGUGUAAUUGAGAGAAUUGAAGAGGUAGGGAAGAAGGAGAAUUUCAGGAUGAAGAAGAAAAAAGAUUGGGGAAUCGAUAUGAAAGUACAAAACGGUAAAUUAACAAUGAAUUUGAAUUUGAACGUAUAUCGAUUGAUCGAACGAUUAACAGUCGUCGAAAUUCAAAAAAUUGAUGGUAAUGAUGAUUUGUAUAAAGACGUAUGGAGGAAUAAAUUGAAGCCCGUAAUUUUGAGCCAACGCGGAACAGAGCUUCACAUUUCCGACAGCUAAAUUUCAAGCAUUGGGUGAUUUUAUUUUUUUUACCAAGUUACAAAAAAAAAAUCAUGUUUUGUUUUUUUUAUUCAAAUACUAUUGUUGAUGUAAAGUUACAAAAAAACAAAAAACGGUGAGUGGAAGUUCA
rnacentral:misc_RNA from 1 species